UCAGAUGUGAAUCCUUCUGCUCAGGGGAAGAAGUACGUUUGAAACUACCCAACUUGAGUACGAGAGAGGAAAGUGGAAUUCCCGGUGUAGAGGUGAAAUUCGUAGAUAUCGGGAGGAACACCUGUGGCGAAGGCGACUUUCUGGAUCGAUACUGACGCUGAGACGCGAAAGCGUGGGGAGCAAACAGGAUUAGAUACCCUGGUAGUCCACGCCGUAAACGAUGGGAACUAGGUGUAGCGGGUAUUGACCCCUGCAGUGCCAAGGGCGAAUUCCACAGUGGAU
rnacentral:rRNA from 1 species